rnacentral:misc_RNA from 1 species
AAGUCGUAACAAGGUUUCCGUAGGUGAACCUGCGGAAGGAUCAUUACAACGUAUCCACGUACAAACCCAAACCUGUGAACUGUUUCCCUUUGGAGCGGCAAUUGCAAACUGAAUCAGAUCCUAUUUGUGACGAAAAAAAGAGAAAUCUUUUUUUUGGAACUGAUUCGGGCUGCUCUGAAGUGGUUUUCCCGUCACAUUUUAUUAUAUAUAAACCUUUUGAACCUUUUAAACUUGAACUGAACUGAAAGCGUCCCUUUCAUUAGGGCCUUUCUUUUAUUUACGAAACGAAAAGAACAACUCUUAACAACGGAUAUCUUGGUUCUC